rnacentral:rRNA from 1 species
AACGAACGCUGGCGGCAUGCCUAACACAUGCAAGUCGAACGAGACCUUCGGGUCUAUUUGCGCAGGGGUGCGGAACGCGUGGGAAGCUGCCUUUAGGUUCGGAAUAACUCAGAGUAAUUUGAGCUAAUACCGGAUGAUGUCUUCGGACCAAGGAUUUAUCGCUUUUAGAUGGGCCCGCGUUGGAUUAGCUAGUUGGUGGGGUAAAGGCCUGCCAAGGCGACGAUCCAUAGCUGGUCUGAGAGGAUGAUCAGCCAGGAUGGGAAUGAGACACGGCCCAGACUCCUACGGGAGGAUGCGGUGGGGAAUAUUGGAGAAUGGGCGAAAGCGUGAUCCAGCCAUGCCGCGUGAGUGAUGCAUGCCUUAGGGUUGUAAAGCUCUUUUGCCCGAGAUGAUAAUGACAGUAGCGGGAGAAUAAGCGCCGGCUAACUACGUG